rnacentral:lncRNA from 1 species
UAAAAGCCGCUUUCUUUGCUCCUCCCUUCUUGCUGCUCUUCUUAGCAGCAGACGAAUCAAUAGCGGCUUGGACUUCCACUUCAUCUUCCGCUCCAGGAUCUAGAACAGGAUAAUCAUCAUCCAUGGAGGCCUUCUUGUCCUUCUUCCCUUUCUUCCCUUUCUUCUUGCCAGCAAACGUGAUAGUCUCCUCUUCCUCGGCUUCGUCCACAUCAGGAACGACUGGGCUCACUGAAGCCACUUCACCAUCGGAAGCAUCUUCAUCCAACAUACUAAACCCCCCUUUCUUCGCUCCUCCCUUCUUCUUAUUCCUCUUAGCAGACGACAGAUCGGCAGCUUCUUCAACUUCUUCAGCUUUGGCUUCUGCUUCCAGAUCGAGAAUGGGAUAAUCAUCAUCCAUAGAGGCCUUCUUGUCCUUCUUCCCUUUCUUCCCUUUCUUCUUGCCAGCAAACGUGAUAGUCUCCUCUUCCUCGGCUUCGUCCACAGCAGGAACGACUGGGCUCGCUGAAGCAACUUCGUCGUCGGACAUGUCCUCGUCUAAUA